GUGACUCUGGGCAAGUUCCUGAAGAUCAGACACAUCAUGAUGAUCCCUUAUCUGUAAAAUGGGCAUGAUCCAGGAACCUGCCUCUAUGGUUGCCUUGGGG
ensembl:miRNA MIR640 microRNA 640